GUUGAUCCUGCCGGAGGCUACUGCUAUUGGGAUUCGACUAAGCCAUGCGAGUCGAGAGGGUUCGGCCCUCGGCUGACGGCUCAGUAACACGUGGAUAAUCUGCCCUAAGGUGGAGGAUAACCUCGGGAAACUGAGAAUAAUACUCCAUAGGUCUAGGAUGCUGGAAUGCACUUAGGCUUAAAACUUCGGUGCCUUAGGAUGAGUCUGCGGACUAUCAGGUUGUAGUCAGGGUAAAGACCUGACUAGCCUACGACGGAUACGGGUUGUGAGAGCAAUAACCCGGAGAUGAUAUCUGAGACACGAUAUCAGGCCCUACGGGGCGCAGCAGGCGCGAAAACUUCGCACUGCGCGAAAGCGCGACGAGGGAAUCCCAAGUGUAUGCACGUAAGUGUAUACUGUUUCUCUGUCUAAAAAGCAGAGAGAGUAAGAGCUGGGUAAGACGGGUGCCAGCCGCCGCGGUAAUACCUGCAGCUCUAGUGGUGAUCGUUAUUAUUGGGCCUAAAACGUCCGUAGCCGGUCUUCUAAAUGCCUGGGUAAAUCGUAUGGCUUAACCAUACGAAUUCUGGGUAGACUGUUAGACUUGAGACCGGGAGAGGCUAGAGGUACUCCUGGGGUAGAGGUGAAAUUCUGUAAUCCUAGGGGGACGACCAGUGGCGAAGGCGUCUAGCUAGAACGGGUCUGACGGUGAGGGACGAAGCCCUGGGGCGCAAACGGGAUUAGAUACCCCGGUAGUCCAGGGUGUAAACGCUGCUUGCUUGAUGUUAGUCUGGCUCCGAGCCAGAUUAGUGUCGGAGAGAAGUUGUUAAGCAAGCUGCCUGGGAAGUGCGGCCGCAAGACUGAAACUUAAAGGAAUUGGCGGGGGAGCACCACAACGG
rnacentral:rRNA from 1 species